AUUGAACGCUGGCGGCAGGCCUAACACAUGCAAGUCGAGCGGUAGAGAGGUGCUUGCAUCUCUUGAGAGCGGCGGACGGGUGAGUAAUGCCUAGGAAUCUGCCUAGUGGUGGGGGAUAACGUUCGGAAACGGACGCUAAUACCGCAUACGUCCUACGGGAGAAAGCGGGGGAUCGUCGGACCUCGCGCCAUUAGAUGAGCCUAGGUCGGAUUAGCUAGUUGGUGAGGUAAUGGCUCACCAAGGCGACGAUCCGUAACUGGUCUGAGAGGAUGACCAGUCACACUGGAACUGAGACACGGUCCAGACUCCUACGGGAGGCAGCAGUGGGGAAUUUUGGACAAUGGGCGAAAGCCUGAUCCAGCCAUGCCGCGUGUGUGAAGUAGGUCUUCGGAUUGUAAAGCACUUUAAGUUGGGAGGAAGGGUUGUAGAUUAAUACUCUGCAAUUUUGACGUUACCGACAGAAUAAGCACCGGCUAACUCUGUGCCAGCAGCCGCCGUAAAAC
rnacentral:rRNA from 1 species